CCCAGGGCACCUCCCAAAAGCUGAGUAGGAAACUGUGGGAAGUAAGCCAGCAGGCAGAGCAGCAGAAACACCCAAAGACUCAACAGCAGGACGCAGAACAGGAAAAGGAUGCGCAGUGGGGCUCCAGAGGGUCCACCCAGGUUCAGAGAAAGUGAGUCCUCUUUGCAAAGAUACUAUAAUGGGAAACCCAUAGGCUCAGGAGGGGCCCGAACAAAAGCAAUGAUGACAGCAACAAAUGAAAAUGACGUCGAAAUGAUGCGUUGCCAAGAAGUCCAGCUGCCAGAUUCAGCUGUUGGUGUUGCCUGUCUCUGUCAAUCACCGAGUCCCUCUUUGGUCUCCACUGUCUGGACAAACUACAUUAUCUUUUCUGUCUUUGACGAACACCAGUCUGCUCUCUCUCUCUCUCCUUGUUGUCUUUAAUUAGCUCCAUA